rnacentral:lncRNA from 1 species
ACCAAGCUGAGCAUCACCCGAUGCUCGAUCGGGUGCCGGAUGCCCAGCAGAUGGCGGGAAGAGCGAUGGCUCCGAGGGGGAAGAGCCACAAGGUCACAGCUGACACAUGAGGGCUGGACUGCAAGGCAGUGAAAGAUUAAUGGUUUCCUCCUUGUCUUGGUGCUCAGUGGAGGCCCUCUCCCCCCCAGCCACCCAUGCGUGGUUCAGUGUGGGGCUGAGCAGCUGCCUUCCUCAGAUGUGAUCCUGGUGGCCCUUUGGCUGAAGAACAUUGGCAGAAUUGGAGGUCCCACUGAGACUGAGCUGACACCUUCACUGCCUUGGACCAGGGCCCUCACUCAACUCAGUAACUGUGCGCACAUCGUUUAGGGGGUGGGCACUAGGUCCUGGCGGUUUUUUUUUGUUGUUUUUUUUUUUUUUAAAGCUCCCUAGGUGAUUAGAAUGUGCAUCCUGGCUUUUGAGGGAUGGGGUGACAAGCCAUUUCAGGAGGUCACAGAGGGGUCGGAAGGGCAGCGCCUGUAAAGCAGUGACCUUGGUCCCUGCCUGUGGUAUUCAGUUAGUGUGAACUGUCAUUUCUUUUUUGCUGUGCCUUCUUCAUUUUGCU